CUCCUGGAGCUGGGCUGGGGGCGGCGUAUGCACCCCUAGGGGCACUCAGCAGUGUCCUCUCUGGCUGCAGAGUCCCCUGUCAUGUGGUCUCAGCAGGUGCUUCCUCCAGGGUCUCCCAAGAGGGAACUCCCUUCCACCCCCUGAGUCUGGGCUGUGAGCUGAGCUCCAGCAUCCGGGCUGAGAGAUGAGCUGGGCGGGUCCUGGGUGGACCCCUAUUUGCAUGGCAGCCCCUCCUCAGGCAGAGGCUGGGCUAGAAAAGAAGACCUGGGGCAGCCCAGCCCCAAGGUGGGGACCAGGAAGCUGUGAGCACCAUGGCCUGGACUCCUCUCCUGCUCGUGUUCCUCUCUCUCUACACAGGUUCCCUCUCCCAGCCUGUGCUGACUCAGCCGGUCACCCUCUCGGCGUCUCGGGGAGCAUCAGCCAGACUCUCCUGCACCCUGAGCAGUGGCUACAAUGUGAGCAACUAUAGCAUAUACUGGUAUCAGCAGAAGGCAGGGAGCCCUCCCCGGUACCUCCUGAGGUUCAAGUCAGACUCAGAUAAGCACCAGGGCUCCGGGGUCCCCAGCCGCUUCUCUGGAUCCAAAGAUGCCUCGACCAACGCAGGGCUCCUGCUCAUCUCUGGGCUGCAGCCCGAGGACGAGGCCGACUACUACUGUGCUGUGUGGCAUGGCGACACUAGCGCUUACACGGCUCCAGACCAGUGAGGCAGUGAGACAGAGGCCUCCCCACCCAGCCUGCUCGUGGCUCGGAUGAAGCCUAGUUCAGGCGGUGACUUCCAACUGUCAGAUGGUAGACAAGCAACCCAUUUUCCUCACACCAGCAGAUUUGAUAAUAUUGUAUCUUUUGCUUCAAUUUAGCUUUUAGAUUGCUAAGAUACUCUUAUCCAAUGCCAGUUUUCUUGGGCAAACAUUGCUUGUUCCGAGAUAAAAACUUUUUGAUGAAGACAUUGGCUGAGCCCAGAAGAGGUGGUUUCAGGCCAGGCCCAGCUCAGGGUCAAGGGCUCAAUAAGACAGGCUUCUGUGACUGUUUCACUUGGGAUUUUGUGAUAUAAAAGUCAACAUGCAGAAAUGAAUUGUAUUUUGUAGUUCAGUAACGAACCUCCAGUUUCUGAAAAUAAAACCACUAACAUGUAUGACACAAUCAACAGAAAACACUUAAAGAUAAAUCUGAGGAAGAUCAGAAGGCUGUGCGCUGAAAAGACAAACAUGCAAGAGAAAUUAAAGGCACGGUGAACAGUCACUCCUCAUCUGUCGUUCAAAACACUGAGUGUCACUGAGAUAAGUCAUUAAAAGUAGCACAACAUAACAUUGUAAAGCAACUUGUUGUUCAGUUGCGAAGUCAUGUCUGACUCCAUGGACUGCAGCACACCAGGCUUCCCUGUCCCUCACCAUCCUGGAGCGUGCCCAAGUUCAAGUCCACUGGAUCCGUGAGGCCACCCAACCAUCUCAACGUCUGUCAUCGCCUUCUCCUCCUGCCCUCAAUCUUUCCUAGCAAAAGGUGUUUUCCAAUGAGUCAUAAAUAUAAAAUUAUGCUGAAAAUUAAUGAGAAUGAAUAGGGAAAUGUUCAAGUCGACAAUUAUUUAAAAUAGUAUAUAAUUUUUAAAUUAUGUAAAUUUAAAAGUAGUUCAAAAAUGUGUUACUUUGGUCCCAGAAAUAAAAAAAAAAACUUAAGAUUUGACCGCAUUUGUAUGAUAACAAUAAACAUUCAGCAAGAAAGAUAAAAGAAAAUUUGAGCAAGAGUGAAAUAUUUUCUUCCAGGAAAACAGUGAGUAGCCGGGCUGUGCAGUCCCUGCAUUAUUUACAGUGGUGCUUCCUUAGACCUGUUUCCCUUGAGAAGUUGGAGG